rnacentral:rRNA from 1 species
UACGUAGGGGGCAAGCGUUGUCCGGAUUUAUUGGGCGUAAAGAGCGUGUAGGCGGCUUCACAGGUCUGCUGUGAAAAACUCGAGGCUCAACCUCGAGCUGUCGGUGGAAACCGUGGGGCUAGAGUCCGGAAGAGGAGAGUGGAAUUCCCGGUGUAGCGGUGAAAUGCGCAGAUAUCGGGAAGAACACCCGUGGCGAAGGCGGCUCUCUGGGACGGUACUGACGCUGAGACGCGAAAAGCGUGGGGGAGCAAACAG